rnacentral:rRNA from 1 species
ACGUAGGGGGCGAGCGUUGUCCGGAAUUACUGGGCGUAAAGGGCGCGUAGGCGGCCCGUUAAGUCCGCUGUGAAAGACCGAGGCUCAACCUCGGGGUGUCAGCGGAGACUGUCGGGCUGGAGUCUCGGAGAGGGAUGCGGAAUUCCUGGUGUAGCGGUGGAAUGCGUAGAGAUCAGGAGGAACACCGAUGGCGAAGGCAGCAUCCUGGCCGAGUACUGACGCUGAGGCGCGAAAGCGUGGGGAGCAAACAGGA